UCAGGUUUCGUUAAGCGAUGCUGUUCUUGCUCUCAUCAGGGCAGUUAGCUACUUUCAACAAGGUUGCUACUCCUUUUUUCCCUCUGCUUUGCAUUUAUUGUUGCUGGCUUCAGAGGUCAGUCAGUCAGUAGCCUUUUGUAACAGCAAAUGACAGUCCUUUGCACAUAUGUUACAAAGAGACUUUCAUUUGAAUCUUCUGUGACAGGUGUGGUGCACUUGAGUUGGACCAUUUGUGUUUGUGAUGAAAAUGAGGCUUUGAGUGGAAUUAAAAUACGGUCAUACCUCGGUUUUCGAGCCGAUUUGUUCGAAAACCGAAACCAUGUUUCCCAUUAUAAUCAAUGUAAUAAAUCUUGAUCCGUUCCAAGUCUAGAAAACAACAUUUUAAAAGCUUUCUUUGACUAUUUUACACGAUAAACUGUAUACGCGUGUAAUAA